rnacentral:rRNA from 1 species
CCUACGCGUGGCAGCAGUGAGGAAUAUUGGUCAAUGGGCGUAAGCCUGAACCAGCCAAGUCGCGUGAGGGAUGAAGGUUCUAUGGAUCGUAAACCUCUUUUAUAAGGGAAUAAAGUGUGGGACGUGUCCUAUUUUGUAUGUACCUUAUGAAUAAGGAUCGGCUAACUCCGUGCCAGCAGCCGCGGUAAUACGGAGGAUCCGAGCGUUAUCCGGAUUUAUUGGGUUUAAAGGGGGAGUAGGCGGCCUUUUAAGUCAGCGGUGAAAGUCUGUGGCGCAACCAUAGAAUUGCCGUUGAAUCGGGGGGGCUUGAGUAUGUUUGAGGCAGGCGGAAUGCGGGGUGUAGCGGUGAAAUGCUUAGAGAGCACGCAGAACCCAGAUUGCGAAGGCAGCCUGCCAAGCCAUGACUGACGCUGAUGCACGAAAGCGUGGGGAUCAAACAGGAUUAGAUACCCCUGUAGUC